GCCCAUCUGACCAGUGCAAUUUCAGUUUAAUGACCUUUAACCUUGUUGAGGGACAAGGAAGGAAGUUAAGGAACAACUAUAGGAGGCACAAUGGCUUGUUCCUGUUAGAAAACUAUAUCUCCAUUCAAUUAGCAUUAGUACAACAAAUGCAACUCCUGGGUGGGGUCAUGUUUCUUACUCCCUGAAAAGAGGAAAUCUUGGAAGCCAUUUUGAAUGUUAAGUACCAUACUAAUUAGCAUAUUAUUAGCAUUACUAUUAAGCAGAUUUCUACCUACCAGUAUAACAGUACUUGUUUGAUCCUUAUUGUUAAACUUGUAGAGGUAAUUAAGGAAAGAUCUAAACUCAAGUUCCAGGGAACUUCAUCCCCACACCACAAUAAUGACACCAAAUUCUACUGGACUUAUUAAAAACCCAGGUGCCAAAGAGCCUCAAGCAGCUAUCCAUCGUCUUGUCUGCCUAUCACCAUGUCAAGCAGCUAUCCAUCCUCUUGUCUGCCUAUCACCAUGUCUUCGGACAUUUUUCCUAUGCCCUAAUAAAUUUAAACUCUUUUCAAUUAAUUCCCCUUGUGACCAUCUCUGAAUUCUUUCUCCAACAAUAACAAGAAAUAUUGUGUAGAAGGAAAUGAAGAGACAAGAAAUAGAAAGGAGAAACUUUGUACAUUAAUUCCUGUCACCUAAGCAGAUAGACAGAAUAAUUGCUUAUUUUUACUUCAACUUGUUUUCACUUUAGCUGCUCAUCUCAAACUUUUGUAUCACGUUCUAGAGAAUGGAGUUAUGAAUUUCACAUUUAUCCUACAUAUGAUAUUUACACACACACACAUGCACACACACUUUUUAUGCUAUGAAAGGAUGCUAUAAAGAGAAAUACGGUGCCACAAUUUGAGUUUGGCUUAUACUAUAUUUACUGUCCAUUUAACGAGUCUUUCUGUUUUCCUCUUUGGAUGAGUUAAGACUCCCUGGUCACAGGUGAGGUGCCCCCACAUGCUCUGUGCUCUGCGGAGCUAUCACAGGUUCAUGUAUAUGACAUUUGCAAGAUCCAGUUCCUAUUUAUAACAGAUCUCUGCAAUUGCCUUCUCUGCCAGUACCUUUUCUCCUUUCCUUGUACAUAAGGAAAAAAAAAAUCAAACUCCUCAGAUCUUAUUUCUGUUGCAGCCAAAGAUGCUCUUGUGAUGCUUUGAAGCUGCCAUUGAUGUUCUGGUUUGGAGAGAACACAGCAGAAUCAGUGUUCCACCCUGCUGGCCCUCUCAUGUACAUGAAGCAAAGCCCUGGACAUGGGCCGCGCCUUUCUAUGAUUUAGGAACUUAAAAGUACAGAGCCAGCCUUUUAUGAUGGCUGCAGGACAAGCCUGAACUUUCACUCCUCUUUCUUGUUGUUUUUCAUGAUUUUCAUUUUUUUUCUCCUUUUUGGAUAAAGUAGCUUUUCCUCCCAAUUUUCAAUAUUAUCUUUGUAGUUUCUUUUAUCUUGAGAGAUGAGUACAAUGAUGUAGUAGAAUAGAGAAAAACAUGGCAGAAAAGCAUGACAAAGUGCAAUAGUCAUAGAGACUGAUUUUUAAAUAGAUUUCAGGGGUAAAACUCUCUGAAAAAGUAGUAUGUGAGCAGUGGUGAUAUACCAGCCAGGUGAGAGACUGGCACAGGGUAAAGAAAACCUCCCUCUCAUCUCUGAAGACACAGCAAGCAAGUCUUUUGAAGUAAAUUGACAGAAUUGUCUAUAUGUAUCCUACAGACAAAAGGUAAGCAUGCCAACAUCCAACAAGGCUUUGAAGUCCACAUACCAUGACUUAGAUGAGAGAAGUAGCAUCUAUUGAAAGUUGAUAGAGACGAAAGGACCCAAAGAACAGAUAGCCUGAGACGGACUGCUUUGACUCUGGGUGUCAUGUCAUCUUUGCUUAAAGUUUAUCUUCUUUCAUAUAUUACAGAGACGGCUCGUGAUCAUUGCCUUCCUUUUGGAAGAACACCGAUAAGGAAACCACAGAAAAAAAAUUUCCUGGACUUUUGAGAAGGAAAAGAUGGAGAUGGGACAAAAAGAAUGAAAAGAUCAACAAGACACAACACUGGCCACAAGACUACUUUGGGAAAAUACUGAAAGCAGAUGAAAAAUAAGUUUUUUCACAGGUCAAUCUAGCCUUGGAGCAGCAUGUACAGAGAGAGGUCAGAGCUGAGGGAGCGUCAGAGAGGAACACAACAGAGAGAGAGAGAGAGAGAGAGAGAGAGAGAGAGAGAGAGAGAGAGAGAGAGAGAGAUCAUGCAGAUGCAGUUCAUAGUUCCUUGCCUACUACUGUAGAGAAGUCCACUCUUUGACAGUAAUCAACAUAGUAACUUCUGUUGUGCUUUGAGAAGAGUUCAUGCCCUAACAUGUCAUGGACCAGCAUUAGGGUAUCUUUUUCUCUUUGUUUGUUUGUUUUUGGUUGUUGUUUGUUUGUUUGUUUGUUUGUUUGUUUUUGUUUGUUUGUUUUUGUUUGUUCGUUUCAUUGUUUCUUCCUUCCUUCCACUAUCUUUUUUCUCUUCCUCCCUCCCUCCCUCUCUCCUUCCCACCUUCCCUCCCUCUUUCCCUAUUCUUUCCGUUUUCUUCCUUUUUCUUUCUUUCUCUUUCUCUCUUUCUCUCUCUCUCUCUUUCUUUCUCUCUUUCUUUCUCUCUCUCUCUCUCUCUCUCUUUCUUUCUUUCUUUCUUUCUUUCUUUCUUUCUUCUUCUUUCUUUCUUUUUCUCUCACACAGUGCAUCCUAUCAGUAGCCCCUUUCCUCUCUAUUCCUCCCAGUUGCCACUCCUUACCUCCCCUCUCCCCCAGAUCCAAACCUCCCCCUCACACAUCCACGUUUUCCUUCAGAAAAGAGCAGGCCUCCCAGGGAUAUCAACCAAAUGUGGUAUAACAAGACUAGAUACAACCCUCAUAUGAGGGUUAGGUGAGGAAACCCAGUAAGAGGAAAGGAGUUCAAGAAUAUGUGAAAUAUGGUUUAUUCUAAUACCAAUGUCAGGAGUACCACAAAAAACACCAGGCUAAGAACCACAACAUAUUUGCAAAGACCUAUAUUGCUCAAACUCAUUCACUUGUUCUGUGGUUGCUGCUUCAGUCUCUACGAGAGCCUAUGAGCUCUGCUUAGUUUAUUUGGUGGGUGCUGUUUGAGCCAAAGGCUUAAGGCUACGUUUGAAUAAUGAUGUUAAACUAUAAAACCAUAAGAUGAUGAAGUUGUAGAACAAGGCUGCUGGGAAGUGAUUUAUUGAUGUGUGAGGUGCUCAAAAAUGAAAUUAAUGCAUUUAGAAAGAGACUCUAUAGCAGUCCCUGCCCCUUCCUUCUACUAGCUAAGGAAAAAGUAAAAAUGGGAAGUAGAUCGUCAGACACUAAAUUGGCUAGCAUCUGGGUCUCAUGUUUCUCAGCUUCCAGAGAUAUGAGAAAUAAAAUUCUAUUUUCUACAGCCUAUUCCCUUACAUCUUUUCCUAGUAUCCUGGGAAGAUACCUUAGUACCUGUGUGUGUGUGUGUGUGUGUGUGUAUGUGUGUAUGGGUGUGUGUAUGUGUGUGUGUAUGUGUGUGUAUGGGUGUGUGUAUGUGUGUAUGGGUGUGUGUGUAUGGGUGUAUGGGUGUGUGUGUAUGGGUGUGUGUGUGUGUGUGUGUAUGGGUGUGUGUGUGUGUGUGUAUGUGUGUAUGGGUGUGUAUGUGUGUGUGUGUGUGUGUGUGUGUGUAUAGGUGUGUGUGUGUGUGUGUGUGUGUGUAUGUGUGUAUGGGUGUGUGUAUGGGUGUGUAUAUGUGUGUGUGUGUGUAUAGGGAUGUGUGUGUGUGUGUAUGUGUGUGUGUGUGUGUAUGUGUGUGUGUGUGUGUGUGUGUCCUGGAAUAAGUUGCACAAUACAUUUUUACCUGGUUUUCUCACUGACAGAAUGAGAGUGGUAAUAAAGUGGCUGAUGGUGCCCAUUGUUUAUUGUGCAUUUUUAAAGAGCAAGCUAUUUCUG
rnacentral:lncRNA from 1 species